rnacentral:rRNA from 1 species
AUUGAACGCUGGCGGAAUGCUUUACACAUGCAAGUCGAACGGCAGCACGGACUUCGGUCUGGUGGCGAGUGGCGAACGGGUGAGUAAUAUAUCGGAACGUGCCCAGUCGUGGGGGAUAACGUAGUGAAAAUUACGCUAAUACCGCAUACGAUCUAUGGAUGAAAGCGGGGGAUCGCAAGACCUCGCGCGAUUGGAGCGGCCGAGAUCAGAUUAGGUAGUUGGUGAGGUAAAGGCUCACCAAGCCGACGAUCUGUAGCUGGUCUGAGAGGACGACCAGCCACACUGGAACUGAGACACGGUCCAGACUCCUACGGGAGGCAGCAGUGGGGAAUUUUGGACAAUGGACGCAAGUCUGAUCCAGCCAUUCCGCGUGCAGGACGAAGGCCUUCGGGUUGUAAACUGCUUUUGUACAGAACGAAAAGGUCUCUAUUAAUACUAGGGGCUCAUGACGGUACUGUAAGAAUAAGCACCGGCUAACUACGUGCCAGCAGCAGCCGCCG